rnacentral:lncRNA from 1 species
GUGCUCGAGGCUGAGGGAUGCUGGUGACUCCCGGGGUCCCCAGCCCCGCCCCCAUCGGACGCCUCCACAGGCGGCGCACCCUUUCCGCCAUCCGCAGAGCAAGGCUGCCUCGGGGCGGCUCAGUCCGGCGCUUCUUACCUUACCUCCGUCUCAUCCUUAACUCACCACGAGCGUCCAGGGUCCACAUCCUCCUAAAUGGCCACUCGUCUUAAUCUCGGCGUCAGGACCCACGCGGGGUCAGGACUACCCCUCCGCUUCCAUGACUGUCUCCUCGCGGCUCCGGCUCCCACGGAGCGACCCCUCCGGGUUUUACUGACCCCGGGAUGUUGUAUCCUGGAAACUGCAGUUCCACCCAGGGGCUUGAUCUGGGUUAGUCUGGGGGCAAGUGAGCCGCCGAUUCUGUUUGGGUUUUUUUUUUUUUUUUUUUGAGACGGAGUUUCCCUCUUGUUGCCCGGGCUGGAGUGCAAUGGCGCGAAGUCGGCUCAACGCAACCUCCGCCUCCCAGGUUCAAGCGACUCUUCUGCCUCAGCCUCCCAAGUAGCUGGGACUACAGGCAUGCGCCACCACGCCAGGCUAAUUUUGUAUUUUUAGUAGAGACGGGGUUUCUCCAUGUUGGUCUGGCUGGUCUUGAACUCCCGAGCUCAGGUGAUCUGCCCGCCUCGGACUCCCAAAGUGCUGGGAUUACAGGCGUGAGCCACCAUUCCCGGGCGCUGUUUGGGUUUGUUUUUUUGUUUUUGUUUUUUACGUUCACAGCAUGGACGGUCAGUGUGAAGAUCCCAGCUGCUCGGGUCCUAGCUGGAAUUCUUCCAUUAAAAAAAUCUGUUUGUUAUGCAUGGGUUAGUUCACAGAGGAAUAGCUGGAUAAGUGCUGGCUUUUUCCCCGAUUUACCCAUUUUCAACCUAAUAAUGCAGGUUUUUGAAAUAAUGUGAAUGGUUACUGCUGGCGGAUGUUCACAGGGACACACCGGAUUCUACAGACACAUCUGAUGAUCUAGCCACGGCUGUCACUUUCCCCACUGCCGCGUUGUCCAUCACUAGGACUUUACUGCCAAUCCUUGCAAGAUAGUGGGGAACUAGAAUAACAGACAUGGGACAUUACCAGUUACAACCAAAGACAAGCUUGGCACAUUUGACUGUCCUCGUUCCUGCUCCUCCGUGCCUGGCCCUCUUCAGGCUUCUCAGCUCCUGGGGAGCGGCCAGCCAGGGAGCAUCAGCUGGUGGGAGCGAUGGGGUUGUGGGAUGGCACAAAAAAACACCAAGCGCCACUCAGAAAGGAAAUGCCGAAUGCAGACUCUCACUCAGUCGGUGUGGGGGCCAGGACCCUGUCUCUACCAAGUGUGCGGGAGCUGCCCCUGGCCGGGAGCUCCCAGACCCCACUGCAGAGCCGCAGCUCCAGUUGUCCCAGGGGCGACUACUCAGGUGUCCAUCGCCAUGCACAUGUGACACAGAAAAGGGUGAGGCGAGGAGGGGGAACGCUGGAAAUUGUUUCACGGAAAAGGGCGAGGCAAGGGAGGGGAACACUGGAACUUGUGCUUUGGGUAGGCGAUAGCUAAGGAUUCUCUCUCGUCUGGGUCACGGAGAUUGUGCAGCCACAGAACACCUGGUGUCAUCAGGGCCUGAGCUCCUCCCUUCUACAAAGACCUCUGGUCUGCAGGCCUGCAGGUACAGUGCUGUGGGCCACAAGGCACUGCCUGUCGUAUUCAUCUCCACUCUCUAGCACAUCUGGCCUCACGCCACCCCCGGGAGGCCGGCAGGCAGAUAUCAGCUCCACUUCCCAGAUAAGCAAGGGAGCCAGGUACUACCCAGGGUCUUGGGGGCCACACCGCUGGCGAGGGACAGGCUGGGCCUGGCAGACAGCACUGGCAGUCGGUGAAGUGCCCACCUCAGUGUCAGCCUCAGGUCCUGACCCUGGAGGCUGCUGUUACUGAGCUGUGGGGACCAGGAUGCCCUACCAUGAUGGAGACCCAAGCCUCUCUCAUGAUGACUAUUCCCAAGGGCACUGCAGAGGGGAGGAGCUGUCUCCUCCUCCGUGUGGCCCACGCAGAGCUGGUGCAGGUCUGAGUGAGCUCACCAAGACAGGCCAAUCCCAGCCCCAGACUCCAAAGCAUCCCCAAGAGGUCAGGGAGAGGCUCUGUGCCCCUGACCCCAAGGAUAUGCACAGGUCACAAGGCAGAGCCCCCGCUAGACAGCAGGAGCACCCUGCUCUGUCAGCCUGCUUCCCCAGGACGGAGGCCCUGGUGGUAAGGCAGGCAGGUCUUGAGCCCCCACAAGACAGCAGGAUACAACAUAACCCUUUUUAAUCUGAAGUGUAGACUUCAUCCUCACGUUAGAAAACUCCAUCUUUUUUUUAAUCCCUAAGUUCUUUAUCAAACCUUUAUGUUAAAGAUAUAAAUAAGUCUCAUAC